UCGAGCGGUAGAAUUAUUAUUGAGUCUUCGGAUGAUUUAAUAAUUUGAGAGCGGCGAACGGGUGAGUAACACGUUGGUAUCUGCCCCCAAGUCAGGGAUAGCCAUUGGAAACGAUGAUUAAUACCGGAUAGUCUCUUCGGAGUAAAGAUUUAUUGCUUGGGGAGGAGCCUGCGUUCUAUCAGCUUGUUGGUAGUGUAAAAGACUACCAAGGCUAUGACGGAUACCUGGUCUGAGAGGAUGAUCAGGCACAAUGGAACUGAGACACGGUCCAUACUCCUACGGGAGGCAGCAGUGAGGAAUCUUCCACAAUGGGCGAAAGCCUGAUGGAGCGACACCGCGUGAAGGAUGAAGGCCUAACGGUUGUAAACUUCUUUUCUGAAGGAGCAUAAUGAGAGUACUUCAGGAAUAGGGGACGGCUAAAUACGUGCCAGCAGCCGCGGUAAUACGUAUGUCUCGAGCGUUACCCGGAAUCACUGGGUGUAAAGGGUUUGUAGGCGGCUUGUUAAGUUGGAUAUGAAAGACCGGAGCUCAACUCCGUGUUUGUGUUCAAAACUGGCAAGCUAGAAUCAAGGAGAGGUAAGCGGAAUUCUAAGUGUAGGGGUGCAAUCCGUAGAUACUUAGAGGAACACCAAAAGCGAA
rnacentral:rRNA from 1 species